rnacentral:rRNA from 1 species
UACGGAGGGUGCAAGCGUUAUCCGGAUUUACUGGGUUUAAAGGGUGCGUAGGUGGGCAGUUAAGUCAGUGGUGAAAUCUCCGAGCUUAACUCGGAAACUGCCAUUGAUACUAUCUGUCUUGAAUAUCCUGGAGGUGAGCGGAAUAUGUCAUGUAGCGGUGAAAUGCUUAGAUAUGACAUAGAACACCAAUUGCGAAGGCAGCUUACUACAGGGAUAUUGACACUGAGGCACGAAAGCGUGGGGAUCAAACAGG